rnacentral:sRNA from 1 species
ACUAUGCAGAUGGGGAAGAUGCUUAUGCUAUGAAGCGGGAUCUCUCGCAGAUGGCAGAUGAGCUGAGACGACAAGUGGACCUGAAGAAGGGCGGGUAUGUGGUCCUGGGCUCCAGGGAGAACCAGGAGACCCAGGGCAGCACACUUUCUGGUUCUGAAGAGGCCUGUCAGCAAAGGAACCCGGCUACCGAAGAAAGUGGUAGUGACAGCAAAGAACCUAAGGAGUCUGUGGAGAGCACCAACGUCCAGGACAGCUCAGAAAGCUCGGAUUCCACCUCCUAGAGCACGCUUAAGAUGAAAAGCCAAUGAAGAUCUGAGACAGCACAACCUAAGGAAUGGGGGAACAACAGGAUGGAGAACCUGGGUCCAUGAAUGAUCUCAUGGAGCAGAGCUGUUUACCCAUCUUGAAAUAUGUGGCAUUCACUUAGUAUUCAAGAAUUUAGUGGCAAAACACACACACACUCACACACACACACUCUUACACAUGCACAUUUUGAAAUUUGGAAAGCUGCUAACCCUGGUUAUGCUAUGGUAAAAUAUUCUAUAAAACUGACAUGAGCUAACUUGGGAAGGAUAUAACUUU